UGCGUAGGUGGUAUGGCAAGUCAGAAGUGAAAACCCAGGGCUUAACUCUGGGACUGCUUUUGAAACUGUCAGACUGGAGUGCAGGAGAGGUAAGCGGAAUUCCUAGUGUAGCGGUGAAAUGCGUAGAUAUUAGGAGGAACAUCAGUGGCGAAGGCGGCUUACUGGACUGAAACUGACACUGAGGCACGAAAGCGUGGGAGCAAACA
rnacentral:rRNA from 1 species